GCGGAAGGAUCAUUACCGAGUGCGGGUCCUUUGGGCCCAACCUCCCAUCCGUGUCUAUUAUACCCUGUUGCUUCGGCGGGCCCGCCGCUUGUCGGCCGCCGGGGGGGCGCCUUUGCCCCCCGGGCCCGUGCCCGCCGGAGACCCCAACACGAACACUGUCUGAAAGCGUGCAGUCUGAGUUGAUUGAAUGCAAUCAGUUAAAACUUUCAACAAUGGAUCUCUUGGUUCCGGCAUCGAUGAAGAACGCAGCGAAAUGCGAUAACUAAUGUGAAUUGCAGAAUUCAGUGAAUCAUCGAGUCUUUGAACGCACAUUGCGCCCCCUGGUAUUCCGGGGGGCAUGCCUGUCCGAGCGUCAUUGCUGCCCUCAAGCCCGGCUUGUGUGUUGGGUCGCCGUCCCCCUCUCCGGGGGGACGGGCCCGAAAGGCAGCGGCGGCACCGCGUCCGAUCCUCGAGCGUAUGGGGCUUUGUCACAUGCUCUGUAGGAUUGGCCGGCGCCUGCCGACGUUUUCCAACCAUUUUUUCCAGGUUGACCUCGGAUCAGGUAGGGAUACCCGCUGAACUUAAGCAUAUCAAUAAGCCGGAGGGAUCAUUACCGAGUGCGGGUCCUUGGGCCCAACCUCCCAUCCGUGUCUAUAUACCCUGUUGCUUCGGCGGGCCCGCCGCUGUCGGCCGCCGGGGGGGCGCCUUUGCCCCCGGGCACGUGCCCGGCGGAACCACAACACAAACGUGUCUCACGCGGGCAUGUGAAAUUGAUGGAAUGCAAUCGUUUAAACUUUCACAGUGGAUCUCUGGGUUCGGCAUCGAUAAGAAGCACGAAAUGCGAUACUAAUGUGAAUUGCAGAAUCGUGAAUCACGAGUCUUUAACGCACUUGGGCCUGGUAUAUCGGGGGCAUGCUGUCAAGUCAUUGCUGCCUAGCGACUGAGUGUGAGUGCCUCUCUUCAGGGGACGGCCAAGAAGGGACCGUCAUCUGAUGGGUUGUCAUGCUGAUGCGCCGGCAAUCACUUUUCGUACUGACGGGUGCUACUAGCCAUCGCGGGGAA
rnacentral:rRNA from 1 species